GGCCAAGUUUUUAAGGGCGCACGGUGGAUGCCUUGGCACCAGGAACCGAUGAAGGACGUGGGAGGCCGCGAUAGUCCCCGGGGAGUCGUCAACCAGGCUUUGAUCCGGGGGUUUCCGAAUGGGGAAACCCGGCAGUCGUCAUGGGCUGUCACCCACUGCUGAACACAUAGGCAGUGUGGAGGGAACGAGGGGAAGUGAAACAUCUCAGUACCCUCAGGAAGAGAAAACAACCGUGAUUCCGGGAGUAGUGGCGAGCGAAACCGGAUGAGGCCAAACCUCAAGCGUGUGAGACCCGGCAGGGGUUGCGCUUGGGGGGUUGUGGGAUCUCUCUUCUGUCGUCUGCCGGCGACAGGACGAGUCAGAAACCGUUGAUGUAGGCGAAGGACAUGCGAAAGGUCCGGCGUAGAGGGUAAGACCCCCGUAGUCGAAACGUCAGCGGCUCGUUUGAGAGACACCCAAGUAGCACGGGGCCCGAGAAAUCCCGUGUGAAUCUGGCGGGACCACCCGCUAAGCCUAAAUAUUCCCUGGUGACCGAUAGCGGAUAGUACCGUGAGGGAAUGGUGAAAAGUACCGCGGGAGCGGAGUGAAAUAGUACCUGAAACCGUGUGCCUACAAGCCGUGGGAGCGUCGGAUGCAGCUUGCUGCAUCUCGUGACUGCGUGCCUUUUGAAGAAUGAGCCUGCGAGUUUGCGGUGUGUUGCGAGGUUAACCCGUGUGGGGAAGCCGUAGCGAAAGCGAGUCCGAACAGGGCGACUGAGUAGCACGCUCAAGACCCGAAGCGGAGUGAUCUAGCCAUGGGCAGGUUGAAGCGGAGGUAAGACUUCGUGGAGGACCGAACCCACCAGGGUUGAAAACCUGGGGGAUGACCUGUGGUUAGGGGUGAAAGGCCAAUCAAACUCCGUGAUAGCUGGUUCUCCCCGAAAUGCAUUUAGGUGCAGCGUCGUGUGUUUCUUGCCGGAGGUAGAGCACUGGAUAGGCGAUGGGCCCUACCGGGUUACUGACCUUAGCCAAACUCCGAAUGCCGGUAAGUGAGAGCGCGGCAGUGAGACUGUGGGGGAUAAGCUCCAUGGUCGAGAGGGAAACAGCCCAGAGCAUCGACUAAGGCCCCUAAGCGUACGCUAAGUGGGAAAGGAUGUGGAGUCGCACAGACAACCAGGAGGUUGGCUUAGAAGCAGCCACCCUUGAAAGAGUGCGUAAUAGCUCACUGGUCUAGUGAUUCCGCGCCGACAAUGUAGCGGGGCUCAAGCGGUACCGCCGAAGUCGUGUCAUUGCAGCAUUCAGGGCCAACGCCCGCUGUGAUGGGUAGGGGAGCGUCGUGUGCCGGGUGAAGCAGCCGCGGAAGCGAGUUGUGGACGGUUCACGAGUGAGAAUGCAGGCAUGAGUAGCGAUACAAACGUGAGAAACGUUUGCGCCGAUUGACCAAGGGUUCCUGGGUCAAGCUGAUCUGCCCAGGGUAAGUCGGGACCUAAGGCGAGGCCGACAGGCGUAGUCGAUGGAUAACCGGUUGAUAUUCCGGUACCCGCUUUGAAGCGCCAAACAUCGAAUCCAGUGAUGCUAAGCCCGUGAAGCCGCCCCUGAUCUCUUCGGAGUGAGGGGGAGUGGUGGAGCCGGUGACCCGAGCUGGUAGUAGGUGAGUGAUGGGGUGACGCAGGAAGGUAGUCCAUCCCGGGCGGUGGUUGUCCCGGGGUAAGGGUGUAGGCCGUGCGGUAGGUAAAUCCGUCGCACAUCAAGGCUGAGACCUGAUGCCGAGCCGAUUGUGGUGAAGUGGAUGAUCCUAUGCUGUCGAGAAAAGCCUCUAGCGAGUUUCAUGGCGGCCCGUACCCCAAACCGACUCAGGUGGUCAGGUAGAGAAUACCGAGGCGUUCGGGUGAACUAUGGUUAAGGAACUCGGCAAAAUGCCCCCGUAACUUCGGGAGAAGGGGGGCCAUUUCCGGUGACGGGCUUCGCGCCCCGAGCUGGGGGUGGCCGCAGAGACCAGCGAGAAGCGACUGUUUACUAAAAACACAGGUCCGUGCGAAGCCGUAAGGCGAUGUAUACGGACUGACGCCUGCCCGGUGCUGGAACGUUAAGGGGACCGGUUAGCUGGCUUUCGGGCCGGCGAAGCUGAGAACUUAAGCGCCAGUAAACGGCGGUGGUAACUAUAACCAUCCUAAGGUAGCGAAAUUCCUUGUCGGGUAAGUUCCGACCUGCACGAAUGGCGUAACGACUUCUCGACUGUCUCAACCAUAGGCCCGGUGAAAUUGCACUACGAGUAAAGAUGCUCGUUUCGCGCAGCAGGACGGAAAGACCCCGGGACCUUUACUACAGUUUGAUAUUGGUGUUCGGUUCGGCUUGUGUAGGAUAGCUGGGAGACUGUGAAGCCCGCACGCCAGUGUGGGUGGAGUCGUCGUUGAAAUACCAGUCUGGUCGUGCUGGAUGUCUAACCUGGGUCCGUGAUCCGGAUCAGGGACAGUGUCUGAUGGGUAGUUUAACUGGGGCGGUUGCCUCCUAAAGAGUAACGGAGGCGCCCAAAGGUUCCCUCAGCCUGGUUGGCAAUCAGGUGUUGAGUGUAAGUGCACAAGGGAGCUUGACUGUGAGACCGACGGGUCGAGCAGGGACGAAAGUCGGGACUAGUGAUCCGGCGGUGGCUUGUGGAAGCGCCGUCGCUCAACGGAUAAAAGGUACCCCGGGGAUAACAGGCUGAUCUUCCCCAAGAGUCCAUAUCGACGGGAUGGUUUGGCACCUCGAUGUCGGCUCGUCGCAUCCUGGGGCUGGAGUCGGUCCCAAGGGUUGGGCUGUUCGCCCAUUAAAGCGGUACGCGAGCUGGGUUUAGAACGUCGUGAGACAGUUCGGUCCCUAUCCGCUGUGCGCGUAGGAGUCUUGAGAAGGGCUGUCCCUAGUACGAGAGGACCGGGACGGACGAACCUCUGGUGUGCCAGUUGUCCUGCCAAGGGCAUGGCUGGUUGGCUACGUUCGGGAGGGAUAACCGCUGAAAGCAUCUAAGCGGGAAGCCUGCUUCGAGAUGAGGACUCCCACCCACUUGAUGGGGUAAGGCUCCCAGUAGACGACUGGGUUGAUAGGCCAGAUCUGGAAGCCCGGCAACGGGUGGAGGUGACUGGUACUAAUAGGCCGAGGGCUUGUCCUC
rnacentral:rRNA from 1 species